GUGGGGAAUUUUGCGCAAUGGGGGAAACCCUGACGCAGCAACGCCGCGUGAGUGAUGAAGGCCUUCGGGUUGUAAAGCUCUUUUAGUGGGGACGAAAUCCCGAGGUUCAACAAAUCUCGGGGAUGACGGUACCCACAGAAAAAGUUCCGGCUAACUACGUGCCAGCAGCCGCGGUAAUACGUAGGGAGCAAGCGUUGUUCGGAAUUAUUGGGCGUAAAGAGCGCGUAGGCUGUCUUGUAAGUCCGAUGUGAAAGCCCACGGCUUAACCGUGGAACUGCAUUGGAUACUGCAGGGCUGGAGUGCGGGAGAGGAGAGUGGAAUUCCCAGUGUAGAGGUGAAAUUCGUAGAUAUUGGGAGGAACACCGGUGGCGAAGGCGGCUCUCUGGACCGCAACUGACGCUGAGGCGCGAAAGCUAGGGGAGCAAACGGGAUUAGAAACCCGGGUAGUCC
rnacentral:rRNA from 1 species